GAUGAAGAACGUAGCGAAAUGCGAUACGUAAUGUGAAUUGCAGAAUUCAGUGAAUCAUCGAGUCUUUGAACGCACAUUGCGCCCCUGGUAUUCCGGGGGGCAUGCCUGUCCGAGCGUCAUUGCUGCCCUCAAGCACGGCUUGUGUGUUGGGCCUCCGUCCUCCUCCCGGGGGACGGGCCCGAAAGGCAGCGGCGGCACCGCGUCCGGUCCUCGAGCGUAUGGGGCUUCGUCACCCGCUCUUGUAGGCCCGGCCGGCGCUUGCCGACACAUCAAUCUUUUUUCCAGGUUGACCUCGGAUCAGGUAGGGAUACCCGCUGAACUUAAGCAUAUCAAUAAGCGGAGGA
rnacentral:misc_RNA from 1 species